AACGAACGCUGGCGGCAUGCCUAACACAUGCCAGUCGAACGAGACCUUCGGGUCUAGUGGCGCACGGGUGCGUAACGCGUGGGAACCUGCCCUUAGGUUCGGAAUAACUCCCCGAAAGGGGUGCUAAUACCGGAUAAUGUCUUCGGACCAAAGAUUUAUCGCCUUUGGAUGGGCCCGCGUUGGAUUAGCUAGUUGGUGGGGUAAAAGCCUACCAAGGCGACGAUCCAUAGCUGGUCUGAGAGGAUGAUCAGCCACACUGGGACUGAGACACGGCCCAGACUCCUACGGGAGGCAGCAGUGGGGAAUAUUGGACAAUGGGCGAAAGCCUGAUCCAGCAAUGCCGCGUGAGUGAUGAAGGCCUUAGGGUUGUAAAGCUCUUUUACCCGGGAUGAUAAUGACAGUACCGGGAGAAUAAGCACCGGCUAACUCCGUG
rnacentral:rRNA from 1 species